GGUGACUCCCGCGAGGAAGGCUGUAGUUUGCCAAAUGCCUCCUUCUCAGAGAGGACAGCCACGGGGCCACGGGCUGGGUUCGGCGGUUCCGCCAUUUUGCGCUCCUGUUGUAUUUACUCUCCGCCGCUCCCCGGAGCGGGGGCAUGGGGCGGGGUCCCUAGGUCCAGGCCGAGCUCCCAUUGGGCGCACUAAACUGAGGGAUCCUUAAACAAACCAAUCAAAGAUGCGGACAGAAGCCGUCGGGGGUGGGAUCACGGAGCGGACCUUCUUUGGAGGUCAGAGGUCUUUCGGAGCGGCCGACGGAGGGGUUACCGAGGAGGGUCUUCUGACAGUCGCUCGGCAGCCCCCAAUCUGCGAGGACCGAGGUAGCGCUGCUGUUCUCUCAAAGACUUUGCCUUGUUUGUACCGCCCUCUCUUUUUACCUUGAGGUGGCUUGGGUCCCUUCUUGCCUCUUCACGUUCUGAAAAGCGGGUUCUGGCGUUGCUCAAAAUGGGAGGAAAUUUGUGGAGAGUCCGAUCAGCAAAGACUGAAAUGGUGCAAAGUUGCCUUAUUUUAACUAAGGUCGUAAAAGUCCGUGCUUUAAAAGAGAGUUUUCUGCAGAGCUGGAACUUGGACCACUUCCGAUCAUGAAGAUAAAAAUCACCCACCGUUUGGAGACUUUAAAUUGAGUUUGAGUACUAAAGGUUUUCAUUUUAACUAUUCUCUAAACUACACCAAGAAAAACCCAUUAGCUGUGUUAAUAAAUGCUUGCAAAUCCAGCUAGGUUUCUGUAUUUCAGAGUUAGCACUCUGAAACUUCGCCAAGCAUGUACCUUGAUUUUAUCUCAAAAGAUAAGGAAUUUGCAGGGGGAUGGGUUACUACACAGUUCAAGCUUUAGACAAGAGCAUGCCUUUAAGACUUAGAUCUUGGAUGAUAGCAGAAUGUUAAAGGGCUGGAUGGAAAGACUUCACGUGGUCAGGUUACUUCACCAAAGAAAAGGAGUUUUAUGGUCCCUAAGAGGGACAUUAGCUGUUACUUCCUGCAGUUAACAGUUACCUUUCAGGAAAUCGACCUCAGGAAACUAGAAUGAUCUGUUUUGUUACUCUUUCAGUACCAUCCCCCUUCCUUAGGACUUGGUGAGUGGAACACAUCAAAUUUCAAUGUUGAUUAUAAAUACUUUUUUUUAAGGAUUUUGGUUGGUUGGUUGACUCUCUGUGUAGUCCUGGCUAUCCUGUGAACCAGCCUGGCCUUGAACUCAUAUCUACCUGCCUUUGCCUAACUCCCUUUCCCCCAGUGCUAGAAUUAAAGAAAGGUGUGUACCGCU